GACGAACGCUGGCGGCGUGCUUAACACAUGCAAGUCGAACGGAAAGGCCCUGCUUUUGUGGGGUGCUCGAGUGGCGAAAGGGUGAGUAACACGUGAGUAACCUGCCCUUGACUUUGGGAUAACUUCAGGAAACUGGGGCUAAUACCGGAUAGGAGCUCCUGCUGCAUGGUGGGGGUUGGAAAGUUUCGGCGGUUGGGGAUGGACUCGCGGCUUAUCAGCUUGUUGGUGGGGUAGUGGCUUACCAAGGCUUUGACGGGUAGCCGGCCUGAGAGGGGGACCGGCCACAUUGGGACUGAGAUACGGCCCAGACUCCUACGGGAGGCAGCAGUGGGGAAUAUUGCACAAUGGGCGGAAGCCUGAUGCAGCAACGCCGCGUGCGGGAUGACGGCCUUCGGGUUGUAAACCGCUUUCGCCUGUGACGAAGCGUGAGUGACGGUAAUGGGUAAAGAAGCACCGGCUAACUACGUG
rnacentral:rRNA from 1 species